GCGCCCGUAGCUUAAUGGAUAGAGCACGUGACUUCGGAUCAUGGGGUUGGGGGUUCGACUCCCUUCGGGCGCG
rnacentral:tRNA from 1 species